AUGAACGCUAGCUACAGGCUUAACACAUGCAAGUCGAGGGGCAUCAGGGUGUAGCAAUACACCGCUGGCGACCGGCGCACGGGUGAGUAACACGUAUCCAACCUGCCCUUUACUCGGGGAUAGCCUUUCGAAAGAAAGAUUAAUACCCGAUGGCAUAACAUGACCUCCUGGUUUUGUUAUUAAAGAAUUUCGGUAGAGGAUGGGGAUGCGUUCCAUUAGGCAGUUGGCGGGGUAACGGCCCACCAAACCUUCGAUGGAUAGGGGUUCUGAGAGGAAGGUCCCCCACAUUGGAACUGAGACACGGUCCAAACUCCUACGGGAGGCAGCAGUGAGGAAUAUUGGUCAAUGGGCGAGAGCCUGAACCAGCCAAGUAGCGUGAAGGAUGACCGCCCUAUGGGUUGUAAACUUCUUUUAUAUGGGAAUAAAGGGUGCCACGUGUGGCAUUUUGUAUGUACCAUAUGAAUAAGGAUCGGCUAACUCCGUGCCAGCAGCCGCGGUAAUACGGAGGAUCCGAGCGUUAUCCGGAUUUAUUGGGUUUAAAGGGAGCGUAGGUGGACAUGUAAGUCAGUUGUGAAAGUUUGCGGCUCAACCGUAAAAUUGCAGUUGAUACUGCGUGUCUUGAGUACAGUAGAGGUGGGCGGAAUUCGUGGUGUAGCGGUGAAAUGCUUAGAUAUCACGAAGAACUCCGAUUGCGAAGGCAGCUCACUGGACUGCAACUGACACUGAUGCUCGAAAGUGUGGGUAUCAAACAGGAUUAGAUACCCUGGUAGUCCACACAGUAAACGAUGAAUACUCGCUGUUUGCGAUAUACAGUAAGCGGCCAAGCGAAAGCAUUAAGUAUUCCACCUGGGGAGUACGCCGGCAACGGUGAAACUCAAAGGAAUUGACGGGGGCCCGCACAAGCGGAGGAACAUGUGGUUUAAUUCGAUGAUACGCGAGGAACCUUACCCGGGCUUGAAUUGCAACUGAAUGAUGUGGAGACAUGUCAGCCGCAAGGCAGUUGUGAAGGUGCUGCAUGGUUGUCGUCAGCUCGUGCCGUGAGGUGUCGGCUUAAGUGCCAUAACGAGCGCAACCCUUAUCUUCAGUUACUAACAGGUCAUGCUGAGGACUCUGGAGAGACUGCCGUCGUAAGAUGUGAGGAAGGUGGGGAUGACGUCAAAUCAGCACGGCCCUUACGUCCGGGGCUACACACGUGUUACAAUGGGGGGUACAGAAGGCCGCUACACAGCGAUGUGAUGCCAAUCCCUAAAGCCCCUCUCAGUUCGGAUCGAAGUCUGCAACCCGACUUCGAGAAGCUGGAUUCGCUAGUAAUCGCGCAUCAGCCACGGCGCGGUGAAUACGUUCCCGGGCCUUGUACACACCGCCCGUCAAGCCAUGGGAGCCGGGGGUACCUGAAGUACGUAACCGCAAGGAGCGUCCUAGGGUAAAACUGGUGACUGGGGCU
rnacentral:rRNA from 1 species